UGCACAGUUUCACACCAUACUGAUAGAACGUGACUCUGUGUGAGUGUGUGAAUGCACCGCUGAACAAAGACAAAGAAAGAGACGAAGUGGUGCUCGCGUGUCACAGAAGAAGAAAAAAAAAAAGAAUGGGUACACAUGGAAUUACGCGUAGAAGCAAGUGCCACUGAUGAAUGGGGCGUUGCACCCGGUAGCUGCAAUGAAUGGCCAUGCCACAAGGCAAAGCAGGUCUUGAACAGUAGGAAUAAAGUGCACUCGGUUACACGGAAUAAUUGCACUUGACGCUGGAGGGUUCCCACCGGACUAACAAUACUUUCGCUAUUGUACGAGGGCAACAAUGUAUCAGCAGGUAGCCGAUCAUCGAUCCCUCCGGUCAAUGGCCUUGCAAUGCACGGCCGAGAUCUUCUCGUCUGUAUGUCUGUGCGAGGUGCUAAUACAAGAAUCAGAUCCUUCUUACGUAUUUACCUGGUGGCAAUUCUCGUUCGCUCUUCCUCCUGAUUAAACUUCCAAUUUCUCCUCUUUGUUCUUCUGUAGCAAUAACAUUCUAUCUCUGCAAACACAUUGAGGGAUAAAGUGUAAUGUCAAUUGA